CUGAGACCAGGAAGCCUACCAGAUGUUUACACUGUCUUUUUGCGGAAAGGCCACUGAGAGGUCAACACGUAGAGCAAACUUGGAAGCCACAAAGAAGAGGGUCAUGUUCUACAGACGGGCUCCUUGGUCAGCCUGGGUCCUGGAGUGAGGACAACAAUGCAGAGCAGAGCCCUCGGCUGACUCAGUGGGCAUGCAGCCUGUCCUG